GAUCCUGGCUCAGGAUGAACGCUAGCUACAGGCUUAACACAUGCAAGUCGAGGGGCAGCAUGAUCGAAGCUUGCUUUGAUUGAUGGCGACCGGCGCACGGGUGAGUAACGCGUAUCCAACCUUCCCUAUAGUAGAGGAUAGCCCGGCGAAAGUCGGAUUAAUACUCUAUGUUUUCCAAUGCAGACAUCUAAAAUGGAACAAAGGUUUACCGCUAUAGGAUGGGGAUGCGUCUGAUUAGGUUGUUGGCGGGGUAACGGCCCACCAAGCCUACGAUCAGUAGGGGUUCUGAGAGGAAGGUCCCCCACAUUGGAACUGAGACACGGUCCAAACUCCUACGGGAGGCAGCAGUGAGGAAUAUUGGUCAAUGGACGAGAGCCUGAACCAGCCAAAGUAGCGUGCAGGAUGACGGCCCUAUGGGUUGUAAACUGCUUUUAUACGGGGAUAAAGUGAGGGACGCGUCCCUUUUUGUAGGUACCGUAUGAAUAAGGACCGGCUAAUUCCGUGCCAGCCGCGGC
rnacentral:rRNA from 1 species